ACGCUCGACACCUACGGGAGGCAGCAGUCGGGAAUAUUGCGCAAUGGAGGAAACUCUGACGCAGUGACGCCGCGUAUAGGAAGAAGGUUUUCGGAUUGUAAACUAUUGUCGUUAGGGAAGAUACAAGACAGUACCUAAGGAGGAAGCACCGGCUAACUAUGUGCCAGUAGCCGCGGUAAUCUGAGCGGGCUGGCAAGGC
rnacentral:rRNA from 1 species